CCCGGUUUUUGGACUAAGAUCAAGUGAAGUAUGGUGAGUUUUAACCUGCACCUGGUCAAUUGAGGUUAAUGAAGAACCUUUUACCUCUAAUACAGGUUGUUCCAAGCAUAGGAAUGGCAUUCUCCUCUGUAUGUUCUAGAAUUGGUUAUCGAAGAUAAAAAAUUGAUCCAUUAAAGAAGACAAAUCCUUUCGAGAAAAAUUGUAAAGUUAGGAUUAUUGUGAAAAGGUAUAAGAAGAUGGAAUAUGUGUUAACCUUUGUGAAUAUUCAGCACAACAUGCUAUUAGUCCUAGCAUGGCAAAGACCCUGAGAAAGAAUAGGGAACUAAGCUUGCAUGCCAAACGGAUAGCUGAGAUCAUUGAUUAAGCUGGAGUUACAAUGAGAAACACAUAUAAGAGUUUAGCAACUGCUACUGGUGGCUAUGAUAAAUUAACUUUUACUGAAAAAGAUCUUCAGAAUCAUGUAGCAAAAAGUGUCAGAGUCAUACAAGAGGAGGGGGAUGAGCAAUCAUUAAUGCAGUAUUUUCAUCGGAUGCAACAACAAAACUGCAACUUCUUUUACAAAGUUAAAUUGGAUGAGCAACAUCACAUAGAGCAUGCUUUUUGGGCUAAUGCUAGAAGUCGUACUGCUUAUGAGCACUUUGGGGACGUUGUGAGCUUUGAUACGACGUACCUAACAAAUAGGUAUGAUAUGCCUUUUGCCUCAUUUGUUGGGGUUAACCACCAUGGCCAAUCAUUGCUACUUGGUUGCGCUCUUCUUUCAUGCGAAGAAGAGAGUUCCUUUGUUUGGUUAUUUGAUUGUUGGAUACGAUGUAUGGGUGGCAAGCCACCUAUUGGCAUAUUGACGGAUCAAUGCAAAGUUUUGCGGAAUGUCAUUGAAAAAUUGUUGCCAAUGACACAACAUCGAUGGUGUAUUUGACAUAUCAUGAAGAAAAUUUCAGAAAAAAUAGGAGCAUGCAAGUAAUUUAACGAGAUUAGUGCUGAUAUGACACAUAUUGUGUGAGAUUCUAGGUCUAAGGAAGCAUUUGAGAGCUCUUGGAUUGAUUUUAUCAACAGAUUUAUUUUGCAUGAUAAUAAUUGGUUAGCAGAUUUGUACGAAGAACGUGACAGGUGAGUCACUAUGUUUCUUAGUAACAGUUUUUGGGCAGGCAUGCGUAGCACUCAAAGGAGUGAAAGCAUGCAUGCGUUUAUGAAAGGCUACCUAACCUCAAAGAGCAACUUGCAACAAUUUGUAACACAAUAUGACAAUUGUCUUGCAAAUAAAGCUCAACAAGAAUAUGAAUUAGAUGUUGCCAGUUUCAAUACCAUUAUCCCUUGUGCUACUGCCGCUGCUAUUGAAAAACAGUUUCGGUUGUGCUAAACAUGCACACCACUUUCAGCCACUAUUUUCAGCCACCGUAUUUAUAUACAUAUACAAUACAAAAUACAAAAUUCAAAAAUUAAAAAUAAAAAUCUCACUCCCAACCUUACUCUCACGUGCUGAAACAAUGUUCUUCUUUCUCCUUCCUUUACUCUCACUCUCACUCUCACUCUCCGAUGCGACUCUUUCCUCAUCCUCAUUCUCAACGGUGAUUCUCCUUCCUCCUCUCUCCGGCGACAUGAUUCUCCUUCCCUCUCUCUCGGGUGGCACGAUUCUCCUUUGCUCUCUUUCAGGCCCGGUUGCGAUUCUCCUUCCUCUGUCUCGGGCGUGGUGCUCUCUGUCUCAGUUUUGAAAUAUGCGAAAGAAGACUACACUAAAACGAGUAGAAAGAGAACCAGAAAACAGGGAUACCAAAGAAAAUAAAAGAAAAAUGUAUCCAAAAAACUUCGAAGGAGAUGGAGUGGAGAAAGGUCCUUUUAAGGACAAAAAAGGACAAAAAGGAAUUGAAGCAAGAAGACUCUACAAAAUCAAAGAGAGAAAAGAAGCAAGAAGGAGGAGCAAACACAAGUUCGAAUGAAAACCGGAAUGAAAAGAAAACACACUCACCAUCAAUGCCUACCUUCGACCUUGGAGUUGAAUUUCCUCCAACACCUCCAGCACCUCCAACACCUCUAACAACUAUGACCUUGGAUUCAAUUGAUGUUCUAACCCAACAAGUGUUGGGUUCAAAGAUACCAUGCCUAAAUCAAACAACAGAUGUGCCAAUAGAGGUGUCAGAACUAAUUGUUGAGGAAUUAGUAUUGGAUGCUAAUAUGAUUGAAAAAUUAUACGAGUGGGUGAUGGACAAAAGAAAAGAUGAAGAGAAGAUUGUGGAAACAUUUAGUGGCUAGCGCAAUCUCUUCCUUAAAAGAACUAAUGCGCAAACAUUAAAGCCACGAAAUGAAAUAGAUAAUUGGGUUAGUAACACUAAAUAUUUUAUUUAGUAUAAAAUAUUUAUUUUAUUCUUAAAUUAUUUGAUUAUUAAUUGUUUGCUUUGGUUGUAUCAAGGUGGUCAACUAUUAUUGAUGCAUGCUUAAUGAGUUACCACAAACAAGAUUCAAGAAAGAUAUAUAUUGCAUGAAUUCAGACUCAGUGGUAAGAAAUUUUAUUAUGUAUCUCUUCGUUAUUUUAUUUGACAGAUUUUGUUCUAUUCUAAUUUAUGAUCAAUUUGAUUUUAAUUGCGGUUAUUGAGUUUUUAUAAAGAUGAGCAAGGUAAGAAGAGCUCUACAUCAGCUGACAUAUCUAGGAUCCCUAAUUUUAUCAAAAUUAGGAUGCGAGGAAGAAAACUUGUUUUCUUACCUUUUUACCAUAACCAUCAUUGGUGGUUAUAUGCAUUAGAUAUUUGUAAUAACAAGUUUUACGUCCUCGAUCUGUUGUACACAUCUUAGACUGCUGAAUGGGAUGAAAUAGAUCAAUAUGUUGUAAGUUUAUUUUUUUAUAACAACUUUUAUUUAGGUCUUGAUAUUUGAUUAUCAUAUAACUUUGACAAUUUCAGGACAUUUUUUAACAGGCAAGUUAUCUUGAGAAUAUGUUAGGAAUUGCGGAUCCUGCAUAUGUUCAAACCUCCUCAACUCCAACAAUUGAAUAUCUGGACACCCAAACAACCAAAUUUGCAUGAUUGUGGUUUGUUUGUAAUGAAAUGAAUGGAAUUGUGGGAACUAUCUAAAGCCAUGCCACAAUUCCAUCCAUUUCAUUACAAACAAACCACAAUCAUGCAAAUUUGGUUGUUUGGGUAUGUUCAGAUAUUCAAUUGUUGGAGUUGAGGGGGUUUGAACAUAUGCAGGAUCCGCAAUUCCUAACAUGUUGUCAAGAUAACUUGCCUGUUAAAAAAUGUUAUAAAAUUGUCAAAGUUAUAUGAUAAUCAAAUAUCAAGACCUAAAUAAAAGUUGUUAUAACAAAAUAAACUUACAAUAUAUUGAUCUAUUUCAUCCCGUUCAGCAGUCUAAGAUGUGUACAACGGGUCGAGGACGUAAAACUUGUUAUUACAAACAUCUAAUGCAUAUAACCACAAAUGACGGUUAUGGCAAAAAGGUAAGAAAAUAAGUUUUUUUCCUCGCAUCCUAAUUUUGAUAAAAUUAGGGAUCCUAGAUAUGUCAGCUGAUGUAGAGCUCUUCCCACCUUGCCCAUCUUUAUAAAAACUCAAUAACCACAAUUAAAAUCAAAUUGAUCUAAAUUAGAAUAGAACAAAAUCUGUCAAAUAAAAAAACGAAGAGAUACAUAAUAAAAUUUCUUACCACUGAGUCUGAAUUCAUGUAAUAUAUAUCUUUCUUGAAUCUUGUUUGUGGUAACUCAUUAAGCAUGCAUCAAUAAUAAUUGACCACCUUGAUACAAGCAAAGCAAACAAUUAAUAAUCAAAUAAUUCAAGAAUAAAAUAAAUACUUUAUACUAAAUAAAAUAUUUUGUGUUACUAACCCAAUUAUCUAUUUUAUUUCGUGGCUUUAAUGUUUGCACAUUAGUUCUUUUAAGGAAGACAUUGCGCUGGCCACUAAGUGUGUGUUUGGAUUACAGUUUGCAAACGGGAGUUUGCAUAGAAUUGAUUUUGCAAACUUGAUUUUGAUGAAAAGUAAGUUUGUGUUAACGUGAUU